rnacentral:rRNA from 1 species
AUAGCGUAUAUUAAAGUUGUUGUGGUUAAAAAGCUCGUAGUUGGAUCUCGGUUUCGGGUGGAUGGUGCAUCUUGCGGUGUUUACUAUCUACUCGGACGAUAUUGUUGGUUCGUUCCUGGUUCUCUUAAUCGAGUGCCUUGAGUGGCCAGCACGUUUACUUUGAAAAAAUUGGAGUGCUCAAAGCAGGCGCUACAGCCUGAACAUUAGUGCAUGGAAUAAUGGAAUAGGAUCUCGGUUCUAUUUCGUUGGCUUUCGGAGUCGAGGUAAUGAUUAAUAGGGACAGACGGGGGCAUUCGUACUGCGACGUUAGAGGUGAAAUUCUUGGAUCGUCGCAAGACGAACUAUUG